AAUUUCCCCAAUUUCAUGAUAUUGACUCGCGUUCUGCGUUCCUCUCUCUCGCCGUUGUGGUGUUCUUCACUGCUCUGCUCGCGUCGUGUUAUGCUUGCAUCGCAUUCUGCUCUGCUCGUGUCAUGUGCUUCUUCUCGCAUCGUGUUCUGCUCUGCUCCGCCAUGUUUGAUCUUCAGCUCGCGUCAUUUUGAAACAUUCACUUUGCUCCGCCGUGGUGUCGUUCACAUCUUCCUCUCAAAUUUUUCAGAUCUAUAAUUUGGACAGCACAGGCUUUGCAAUUCUCUUGCAGUUUCAUUUAAGCUCUAUGAUUUGGACAGCACAGGCUUUAUAGAAUGCUAAGAGGUGCUAUUGAUUGAUUCUUUGGACACUUUGGCUCUACUCGGUGACUGUGACCGCUUUGCCGCUUCCGUUGAAUGGAUUGGUAAAAAUAUUCGCUUUGAUAUUAACAAAACUGUUUCUUUGUUUGAGACGACAAUCAGAGUUCUUGGAGGAUUGCUUUCGGCUCAUCUUAUAGCCAAUGAUUACGCUACGGGAUGCGAUGAUUGGUGCCAUUCCAAGCUAUGAGGAGCCGUAUAUUAAAGUUCCAAGGGUCUUAAGUAUGGACUAAAAACUUUGUAAAGUUCAUUGAAGGUGGAGCAGAGGCUGAAAUAAACUCAAAGUGAAGUUGACUCGGUGAAAGACCUGAAUGAAUCAAUCCCUCUUCAUGAUGAAGAACAUGAAAACAAAGGAAAAGAUGAGAGCUGUGAAGCUGCUGAAAGCGGUGCAUCUGAAAGGGAAGAUGCAACUGACGAGAUUUAGCAUAUGGGACAAGUCAAGUAUGGAUAUAAAAUAUGCAAGUAGAUUGACAUUUUUUUUACAAAUAUUAAUUACUAUUUUGUUAUAACAAUUAUUGUUAGAUAAGAAUUUUAUUAUUUUGUUGAGAAUUCUUGAUGAACAUGUAUUUAAAAUACUAA